rnacentral:rRNA from 1 species
CAGCAGCCGCGGUAACACGAAGGGUGCAAGCGUUAAUCGGAAUUACUGGGCGUAAAGCGUGCGUAGGCGGUGAGUUAAGUCUGCUGUGAAAUCCCCGGGCUCAACCUGGGAAUGGCAGUGGAUACUGGCUCGCUAGAGUGUGUCAGAGGAUGGUGGAAUUCCCGGUGUAGCGGUGAAAUGCGUAGAGAUCAGGAGGAACAUCAGUGGCGAAGGCGGCCAUCUGGGACAACACUGACGCUGAGGCACGAAAGCGUGGGGAGCAAACAGGAUUAGAUACCCGAGUAGUCCCUGUCUCUUAUAC